AUGAACUGAUGAGGAAAAGGAAAUUUCGUCAACGGCCAGGCGCUCCGGUUCGCUCCUCCUUGCAAAUUAGUUUUCGUUUUUUGAAUACUAUUUAAAUCCCUACUCGCGAUCGACGAAUAAAUACACUCGUUAGCCCGACUAUAAAGGGCUCCGUUCGUUCUAAUCUCUCCGUUCUCCCCCCUUCUUCUCUCCUUCACUGAACGCUCCGCGAAGAGAAAGCUAGAGGGAUCGGCUGCGAGCUCGGAGGAGGCUUCGAAGCAAUUUUUCUGACCGUAGAUGAUUUCUUCUGUUGCUUCAUCGAGCUAUUGGACGACGACGGCUGUAGUCACGAUGUUUUCCGCUCUCCCCCGGACUAUUGGAUGUUCCGCGGGAUGUACACUGCCGAGUGCUCGUCGUUCUGCUGGUGAUUCUACUUCGGGGAGCAGCAUUUGGUUGAAUUGUUCGGAUCCGUCAAGACGGGAGCGGGAGAUCCGUGGCCCGAAGGCUAGCGUGGUGGUUCGGCCGGUUGGGAGGGGUUGCGGGAGCGUGACCAGAAGGGCGGUUCUUGCCUGGGAUAUGGGGGCGGAGGAGGAGGUUGGCUAUUCCAGGUGUUUUCUUAGGGCACGGAAUGGAGAAGAGCUGCUUUUUUGUAUAAGGAGGGAAGUUGAAGCUGGAAAACUUUCUUCAGAAAUUGCGACUAGACUGGAAGAACUCUAUUAUAAUUACCGGAAUGCUGUCAUGCAAAGUGGAGAUCCAAGUGCAAAGGAGAUCAUACUUUCCAAUAUGGCUGUUGCAUUUGAUCGUGUUCUUUUGGAUGUUGAGGAUCCUUUUAGCUUUUUGCCUUGUCAUAAGGCAAUACGAGAGCCUUUUGACUACUACAUGUUUGGUCAAAAUUAUCUCCGGCCAUUGAUAGAUUUCAGAACAUCAUAUAUUGGCAACCUCUCCCUUUUCUUUGACAUGGAAGAGAAGCUUAAGCGGGGCCAUAACAUCAUUUUGUUCUCCAACCAUCAGACAGAAGCAGAUCCAGCACUCAUUUCACUGUUGCUUGAAAGAACAAAUUUAUAUUUUGCUGAGAAAAUGGCGUUUGUGGCAGGAGAUAGGGUGGUUACAGAUCCACUUUGCAAGCCCUUCAGCAUGGGAAGAAAUCUUAUUUGUGUAUACUCAAAGAAGCACAUGCAUGAUGUUCCUGAGCUUAUUGAAAUGAAAAGGAGAGCAAAUACUCGAAGCUUAAAGGAAAUGGCUUUGCGUUUGAGGAGUGGAUCACAGGUAAUAUGGAUUGCACCAAGUGGUGGUAGGGACCGACCUGAUCCACUCACAGGGGAAUGGAAUCCAGCACCAUUUGAUGCAUCUUCAAUGGACAAUAUGAGGAGGCUUUUGGACCAUUCUGGUGUAGUUGGGCACAUGUAUCCCCUAGCAUUGCUGUGUUAUGAGGUUAUGCCUCCACCACGAGAGGUAGAAAAGCAAAUUGGUGAGAGAAGAAAAAUUUCUUUUCAUGGAAUUGGGUUAUCCGUGGCUCCAAAAAUCAACUUCGCUGAAAUCACAGCUGGUUGUGAGAACCCUGAUGAGGCUAAGGAGGUCUUUUCUCAGGCUGCAUAUGAUUCCAUGAUUGAACAUUAUAAUGUUCUUGAAACUGCUAUAUAUGGAUGUAAAGGACUAAAUGCAUCAAACUCCAUUGUCUCACUUUCACAGCCAUGGUUAUGAAUCUUUUGGCAGAUCAAUUUUGCCCUCCGAAACUUUUGCACCAAGUAUGCUAAUGGUAUCUCUGCACAGAUUCUGCACCCUUUAAAAGGUGAAGGGCCUUUAAAGGGGGGGGCCGUCGGGCCUUUUUCUGCUGGGACACAAGUAAUAGGGCAUUAACGAAGAAUAUUGAGCAGGAGUCAGGAGCCAUAUAUUUUCUACAAGUAAUGCGGUUUGCAUCAACUGCUGGACCGUGUAUAAAGUAGUUUCCAGGCGCGUUGUCCACAAGCAGCGCCAGCUCUAUUCUUUUUAUCGAGGAUAAAAUCUUGAAGCUGAAAAGCUCAUGGGAUCCAAAGCCCAAUCAAUCCCGCUUUUCGUAUGUAAGAACUUUUAUGCUGAUUCAUUGAUUCUGCCUCUUGCUGGGAUCUUUUUGAACUCUAUUGAGGAUGAGAUCGACAGUUAGUAUGAAGACUAACUGUCGAGACAAGAAACUGUGUCGACACAUCUUUGAAUGUGGUGUUUUUCCUUACAAAUUUACUAUGCAUCGAUGGGUGGU